UUCUCAUUAAAAACAUCCUGAUGGCUAAAAAUUACUUUCCCAGUCAGGGGGUCAUGAACUUGACAGAGCAGGAAUGAAGAGUUCCUGCUCUGAAGAUGUUUCUGUAGGUACUAACAGUGCAUCACAUCUCUGGGCUAUUUUGUGAUAGAAGUCUGCCUUUGAAGCUGCUCAUUGAAAGUUCCAUGGAACUCCAAACUAAAUGUUGGCUUUAUGUGAAACUGUAAAAGAGUUCUGUUUUUAAGGGCUUCUGUUUUGACUUUUCAUCUUUCCAUACCAGGAGGAUGUCAACUGCAUGACAGAAACAGGAGUCUGGGAUGGAGAAACAGUUUCUAUGGUGUUAUAGCCAGAACACUGCACAACUGAGGAAUGCAUCCAGCAUGUGAUGAAGGAGUGAAUCUGAUCACACAGGGAUGAAUAUAUACAGUUUUGGGCCCCUCACGACAAGACACUGAAGGCUUGCAGCACGUCCAGAG
ensembl:lncRNA